CCGAGAGCUGCUGGUGUUCGCAGGUGCUCGGUGUGUGUGCGUGUGCGUGUUCGGAGGGGGGGAGCUAGGAUGCCAUUAGGACGGACGGGCAGGGGAGGCAUGAAGGGAGCGCGGAGGAUAGAGCAGAGGACGUGAGCGCCGAGGAGGACGAAUAUGAUGAGCACAUGAGCACGCGGAAAGGGGCACGUUGAGCCGUUAUCUGUGGCCGGCAACAGUACUAUGAUUUGGUAUGUGGCCACUUUGAUAGCAAGUGUAUUCAGCACCCGAGGAACGACAGCUCAAGGUGCCCACGGAGUGAGAGAGGAGCCCCAGUUUGUGACGGCCCGAGCAGGAGAGAGUGUAGUUCUGGGAUGUGACGUGAGCCACCCCCUCAACGGCCAGCAGACCCCCUAUGUGGUGGAGUGGUUUAAGUUUGGAGUGCCUAUCCCAUUUUUCAUCAACUUCCGCUUCUAUCCUCCCCAUGUUGACCCGGAGUAUGCUGGUAGGACCAGCCUGCAUGGAAAGGCGUCUCUGCAGAUCGAACAGGUGCGCUCAGAGGACCAGGGCUGGUACGAGUGCAGGGUUCUCAUGCUGGAGCAGCAGUAUGACACCUUCCACAACGGCAGCUGGGUCCACCUCACCGUUAACGCGCCCCCCACGUUCACGGACACGCCGCCGCAGUACGUGGAGGCGAGGGAGGGGGGCAGCAUCACUUUGAGCUGCACUGCCUUUGGGAACCCCAAACCUGUGGUCACGUGGCUCCGGGAAGGGGAGCAGCUGACAAGCAACAAAAAAUACACGGUGAGUGAUGGCAGUGUGACGGUGCAGACCAUCACACGGGAGGACCGAGGAGCGUACAGCUGCCGAGCCCACAGUGACCAGGGAGAGGCCGUUCACACCACACGCCUGCUGGUACAAGGUCCUCCAUACAUCGUGGCUCCUCCUGAGAACAUCACUGUAAACAUCUCCCAGAAUGCCCUCUUCACAUGCCAAGCGGAGGCCUACCCCGGCAACCUGACCUACACAUGGUUUUGGGAGGAGGACAACGUCUACUUCAAGAAUGAUCUGAAGCUCCGAGUACGCAUCCUGAUCGAUGGCACGCUCAUCAUCUUCCGUGUGAAACCUGAGGAUGCUGGGAAAUACACCUGCAGCCCCAGCAACAGCCUGGGUAUCUCCCCCUCUUCCUCAGCUUACCUGACAAUACAGUACCCUGCCCGUGUUCUCAACAUGCCACCAGUCAUCUACGUCCCAAGGAAGUUGCCAGGAGUGAUUCGCUGCCCUGUCGAUGCCAACCCGCCCGUAACGUCAGUCAGAUGGGAAAAAGAUGGUUACCCCUUAAGAGUGGAGAAGUACCCAGGCUGGAGCCAGAUGCCAGAUGGAAGCAUUCGGGUGGCAGAGGUCACUGAAGACUCUCUUGGCACCUACACCUGUGUGCCUUACAAUGCCCUAGGUACCAUGGGACAGUCCCCUCCAGCCACUUUGGUGCUAAAGGACCCCCCUUACUUUAAUGUAAGGCCUGGGGGGGAAUACCGUCAGGAGGCCGGGAGAGAGCUGGUCAUCCCCUGUGCUGCUUCUGGAGAUCCCGAGAUUCCAACCAUAACCUGGAGAAAGGUAGGGAAGCCCAGCAGAAGCAAGCACAACAUCUUACCCAGCGGCAGCUUACAGUUUGUGUCUCUGAGCAAGGAGGACCAUGGAGAGUGGGAAUGCGUCGCCACCAACGUCGUCACAAGCAUCACUGCCAGCACUCGACUUUUUGUAAUAGGCACUAGUCCUCAUGCGCCAGCCAACGUCCACGUCUCAGCGUCCACAACCUCAGCUAACGUCUCCUGGGAACCUGGAUACGACGGUGGCUUUGAGCAGACCUUUUCGGUCUGGUACGGCCCUGUGAAGAAGAAGACAGAUUUAGGUCCUCAUGAUUGGCUCUCCGUCCCUGUUCCCGGCUCUCAGACCUGGUUGGUUGUACAGGGGUUGGAGCCAAAGACUGCCUAUCAAUUCAGUGUGCUGGCCCAGAACAAGCUCGGCACGGGCCCCUUCAGUGAGGUAGUCACUGUGAAUACAGUAGUGUACCCUGUAAGUACCCCGGAACCACUGGUGCUUAUUUCCCCACCGCGGUGCCUCACAGCCAACCGGACGCAGCAGGGUGUACUGUUAACGUGGCUCCCUCCAGCCAACCACACUUCGCCAAUAGACCGCUACAUCAUUGAGUUUCGUCUGGGAGAAAGAUGGGAGGUGCUUGAUGACUUGAUCCCUGCGGACGAGACUGAGAUCAUGGCUAGAGACCUCAUUCCGGACUCAUGGUAUGAAUUCCGUGCCCUGGCUGUCAUGGAUGAUCUCAUUAGUGAAAGCAGUAAUGUAGUGGGAGUGUCAAGCACAGACCCGUUCCCUCCCACAGAGAUCACUGACGAAGGGCUGGCCAGGCCAGUGGUGGCCGGGAUUGUGGCUACAAUCUGCUUCCUGGCCGCUGCCGUCCUUUUCAGCACUCUGGCCGCCUGCUUUGUCAAUAAGCAGCACCGCCGCAAGCUCAAGCGUAAACGAGAUCCACCUCUGUCGAUAACCCAUACCCGGAAAAGUGUUGAGUCACCGCUGUCCUCUGGGAAAAUCAGUCCAGAGAGCAUCGCCUCCUCCCGAACCCCGUCUUUGGCCAGUGUGGGAGUGCCUGGUCUGUACGUGAAGAAGCUGCCAAGCCCAAGGAUAGAGAAGGAGCUCUCUCUGUACAAAAGAACCAAGCGAGCAAUAACGGGCAAGAAGUACAGCGUGUCCAAACACGAGGCUGAGGUCACCACACCUAUCGAGCUGAUAAGCCGCGGACCAGAUGGCCGCUUCGUCAUGGAGUCAACGGAUGGUGAGGCGUCCUUGAAGUCGCGGCGCAUCGAGGGCUUCCCCUUCGUGGAGGAGUCGGACUUAUACCCCGAGUUCCGGCAGUCGGACGAGGAGAAUGACGACCCCGGGCCCCUUCCCCCAGUCAUGGCCACGCUCAGGCCCCAGAUAUCCCCUGUGUCCUCCAGCCAGGAGUCCUACAUGCAGCCCCCAGCCUACAGCCCCCGGUUCCAGAGGCCCAUGGAAGGUAUGAGCAUCUUGGAGGGUAGUCGGCUUCAGGCCGCAGGGCAGAGCCGGGUCUUUCACAGGGUCUUCCCCCCAGGCCCUUUCUACGGCUAUCUAGGUAGUGGAGGUGAGAUGGAGCUCCACCCUCCGUUCUACAUGCCUGACGUCAGUCCACGCAGCUCCGCCAUGUCCUCCUCCUCACCCCCAUACCCCUCCGAGGGGCCCUUCCGCCAUCCUGCCAUUCCCGAGGAGAGGGAGGGGCUGAGGAUCCCGCAGUACGGCGCCUCUGGCCACGCCCUUCCGCUGGCGCACAGCCCUCCCUCCUCUCGCUCCACCGAGACCUGGCAGCCUCCUGACUUCCCCUUUCUGGGUCAGGAGGGUGCCCGGCUCACUCUCCCACCUCACCAUCCCUCCCAUCUCCACCGGGACCUCCCUGAGCCACCGCCAUACUUCUCCUCGCAUAGUCGCGCGCUCAGCGCCCCGUCUCAGCCCCCCUCCAGCUCGGCUUUCCUGCAGCUGGAGGCACCCCGGGCCCACCUGAGCCGAUCGCCCGGCGAGUUCCCUCCUCCUCCUCCUCCUCCUCAGGGCCUCGCAGCCACGCAUGUAACUAUGCAACAGGCCCAGAGUCUGGGGCAGUUGAGACACACUGCUCACGGCAUGGGCGUACCGGUGUUGCCUUACCCCGGGAGCCCCAGCACGCUGCGCAGCGAGAGCUCGGAUGGCUGGCGGCCCGAGCCGGCGCCCUGGCUCAGCCCCAGGGCGAGGGCGCGCCGCCUGGAUCUGGGCCUGCAGCAACAGCAGGUGGUGCUGCAGCCGUCGCGCCUCUCGCCCCUCACCCAGACCCCUCCCAGCUCCCGCGCCGGCUCGCCGGACAUCCUGGUGCGCCCGCCUCCCCGGCCCAGCAUCCUCCGCCACUCGCGCUCGCAGGAGAUGCCCGAGAGCACCACGCGUCACGCCAGCGUCUCGUUCUCCCGGAGGUCCCUCUCCUCUUCCCCCACCACCUCUCCCACCCAGGGCCUGGGCACUGGCCGCCGGCCCGGCCCCUCCUACCGCACCCACAUGGCCUUUGCCACCGCAGCGGCCAGCUACCCCUCCCAGUCCCCCUCACCCCCAACGGAGAGCAGCGAUGCUUUCGGCCAACUGCCGUCUCAGAGGAGGACGGAUGAGGAGAUGCUGCCCUCAGAGCCCUCUCCAGGGUAGGUGAACCGCAUUAUUGGAAGACUCCGAAAACAAACAUGACAAGGAGAUCACACUUUCAUCAAGUAGCCUGCGAAAGCUAUGCCUUCCAUGCUUUUGCCAUUUUUAGCUACAAAAUAAUAAUUAUUCAGGAGUAGACUAAAUUACAUACACUUUUAUAGUCUUACAGAAUGCUUUUCUGUUAAAAAUCAGUUCUUUUCUUUUCUUUUUUCUUCUUUAAACCCUCUAAUGUUGGUAUCAGCAGUGACAUUUUUAGGCUAUAGCAUAUUGAGUGGUUCAGUAUUUUUCUAAUGCAUUCAUGAUGACCUCAUGACUCUUUUCCUCUUUGUCCUGUUAUGUGGGCUGACCACCUCACUCACCUUCUCCAGCUCAUUCCUUCCAUCUCUCUCUCUGUCUCUCACUCCCACUGACUCAGGGCUUUCUUCAUCGUGGUGGCCUUCUUAGGCGGCCUUCAUUGCCAGGGAUGAGCCUGCCCUCGUCUCUCGCAAUGCCCAUCCUCAUCUAGAGUAGCAACGGCUGUUUUUUCCUUUUUCUUUUUUCAUUCCUUUCUUUCUUUCCUUUUGUCCUUUUCAGGCUCUUGUAGUCUUACCUUCUUUGUUUUUGAUUGAUCUCAGCUAUCUGGGCAGCAUUGUUGUGACCAGGUCCUCUACACCAUAAUAGCCUCAGCAGCAGGGGAGACUGUCUAUAAACGCUUUGUGUUUCUAUGCCUUGUGAAACCCAUGAGUUGUUGGCUGACUCUUCCGUGUGGACUGUUCAGUUUUCAUGAUGUCCGUCUGUGUUAUAACAGAGGGAUGAUGGCAUGUGUGAUUUAAAACGAAACAAAACAUAAAGCAACGCUUUUUUCAGGAAAACUUGUGCUGGAGCUCGAAUAAGAACCGCUGACUGACACUGGUGACCGCUGAUCACUGGGCAGUGGUCCAUUUUGACUAGGUUUUUUUUUUCUUAUUAUACAAGGGAGAGUGCUUACAACAUGGCAGGAGCUUACAGCACGAGGUAAAUGUCUCAGUUCUGCAAUGCUAAUGCUCAUUCACUGACCCUCUGAAAACUCAGCGAGAACAUCUGAAAUCAAACUGACCAUAAUAACUACUGAAAACUUUAAUCAAACACAUCUAACUUAUUUAGAUUACUUUUACAACCCCAAAUCAUAAAACGUGGGACAGUGCAGAUAAAAAAUAAAUAAUGUCUCUCGCAUUUCCUUCCUUUUAUUUGAUUGCAGAUCAUUUCAGGGCUACAACACAUUCCAAAUACUCUAGGACAUAGAAAAUAAGGGCUAGUAAAACUAAUUAAUAAUGAUGUGAUUUUGAACAGGUGAUUAUAAUUGUGAUUUGGUACAAAUCAAGUCAAGUAGUUUAUUGUCAAUACUGCAUAUGUACAGGACAUGAGCCUACGGAGAAUUGAAAUUACGUUACUCUCCUUCCCAAAUUUUACAGCAAGUACAGAUAAUAGAUAUAAUAAAAGAGAAUGGGAGAUACUAUGUGUACAAUACAGCAGGGACACAAAUAGACAUACAUGAGACAGAACAUAAGUGAAAUAAGAUAUAUAAAUAUAAAUAAAAAGUAUAUAAAGUAAAUAAAUAAAUAUAAAUAAAUAAAAUGCAUUUUCCACAAAAUGCUGAGAUAUUGAAGAGUAUCUCAGUUUGUAUCAAAUGUCAGAAAAUUAUUGAGAUGUUUAAUAGGUCUCUGUUCAUAUUGCAUAUUUCUUCCUCUGCAGUGCAUAAUAUUGUUUAAAUGCAAGGAAUCCAGAGCAAUUUUAGAGCAAAAGGGGCAAGGGCACAAGCUUAAGCUGAACACCCGUGAUCUCCGAUCCCUCUGACGGCACUCCAUCAUUUAUAUAUGGUUAUACAUGGUUAAGCGCUACAGUACAGAGUUAUAUUUCUGUAUAUAUUUGUGCAUAUUUAAACAUUAUUAGGAAAAAACUGGUGCUGCACACAUUAUAAUAACUUGGAAAAAGAGGUGUUUGCAGAAAGAAUAGAACGAAUAAACACCUGAAACAAUUAAUUGAUCAGCAUCCUCUAUGCCAAAAUGUCUUUUAAGUCUUUUACUGCUUUACUGUCCCAAUUUGGAACAUACUGUGUUUUUCACACUAUAAGGUGCACUAUCAAUUAACGUCUGGUCUGUUUUCAAACAUAAAGUGAAUCGGAUUAUAAGGCACAUUUUAUGCGAAACUAGUAACUUGUAUUACGAACAGGGGUGUCACAUGUUUUCCUUGUAAACUUAGCAGGUCUCACCACAGUCAAUACAGUCUGUUAUACUCGCCUUUGAACAGAAAAAGAUCUAGCGCUGUAGUAAGCAGCUAAUGCUACUUCAGCAGUGCUAUCUGGGGUUAGCAGCAGGCUAACCUGCUCCUUUUUUUUUUUUUUUUGAUUUCUCUGUGUAUUUUCUAAUUUGUAAAGCACUUUGAAUGACCGUUGUGUAUGAAAGGUGCUAUAUAAAUAAACUUGCCUUGCCUUGCCUUGCCUUACAGGCCGAUAAUACUAACCUCUGAACUGCCAAAGAGCUAGUGCUCAGCAUGGUUACCAGCUAAUGCUUAUACUGCUCCAGCAGUGCUAGCCGGGGUUAGCAGCAGGCUACAGGCCGAUAAUAGUCACCUCUGAACUACCAAAGAGCUAGUGCUCGGCACGGUUACCAGCUAAUGCUUAUGCUGCUUCAGCAGUGGUAGCCGGUGUUAGCAGCAGGCUACAUGCUGAUAAUACUCUCCUCUGAAUGGCCAAAGAGUACUUAGUACAGCAUUUAGUACAGUUAGCAGCUAAUGCUAAUGUUGCAGGAGAACUGAACUGAAAUGCCUGUAGCCUAUAACGCUGUACUUCAGUAGAGUGGCUAUACUGCUCCUUAAUACCUGACUUGUAAAAAUCAUACAUAAGGAGCACCGGAUUAUAAGGUGCACCAAUUAUUUUUAGGAAAAUUAAAGGAUUUUAAAUGUACCUUAUAGUGCAAAAAAUAUGGUACUUUGAAAUGUAUUGCCGGCCUGGAAUGCAGGACUGGAUGCAUAUUAAUAAAUAAAAAUGAAUCUGAGCAGAACAAACAUGAAAUAGCUUGGGUUAUCAUACUGUCUGCAAAUAAAAUCACAUAAAUGUUAAAGUAAAUGUAAGAAACAUAAUUUCUUUCUUACUUACAUUGUCUAUACUGUCCCGACCUUUUCUGAUUUGGGGUUAUACAUAUGAAUAAUUUAUAUCAUGGGACAAGAUAUGAUUGAUAUGAUUUUUUAGUCAUUAACGUAAUUUUCAAACUCUGGAUUUGCUAAAUCUUCAGAAUUGGGUGCAUAUUAUUCUUUAUUAAUGUUGCUAUGUUUAUUUGUAUCUUCAUUGAUCAAGGUAGAGAAAUUGCAAAUGAUUCACUCACAAUAUCAAUGUCUCUAACAGGUAAUCAUGUGACAGCUCAAUCAUGGUUGAUACAAUUUGAAUUUCUGUUGUUUUUAAUGAGAUGUGUUGUAAUAAAUGUGUAAUUACACUAUAAAACAUCUUCACUAUGUAACAGUGUAUCUGAACAGAUGUUGGGAGGGUGGCGCUCUCUGGUGGCCGUGUAAAGUAACGCAGCUUGUUUUGCCUCUACCUGCUUGUUUUGUAGGGAACCUCUAGGUGCAGUGAGAGUCCCUGCAGGGUCUGAGAGCUUUGAAGCACUGAUUUAUCAUUGUAUUAAAAAAGCCAAGAAAGUAGCGGCCAACAACAACAACAACUCCAAAGCCAGGAAAAAAACAGGUCAGUGUCUUCUUUGUGUUUUCCACAGAGGAUUUAUAGAGAAUUAUAAGAAUGAAAUCACAUUAACAAAGAGUAGCUUUACGUUUUACUUAAAUUUAUUAGUUUGCUUUGAUGGCAGAAUAUCAAUCAAUCAACCUUUAUUUUCACUCGGGAAUACAAUACAUUGAGGGUGACCCUCAUUUAUAAUAUUGCCGAGCAUUUACAGUAUAAAAAGGAUUGAAAACAUUUAAUAGGAAAUUAGAAAUAAUAAGGAAUAAAAAAGUAAAAAACAAAUAAAUAAAUAAAAGGAAUAGUCAUUUUAAAUAAACAUUAAAUAUAUAUGAAUAAAAAAUAUAUAUGUAAAAAAAAUAGAAAAUUCUUAAAGACCAUAAAAACAAAUUGACACAAAGAGUAAAUAAUUUAUAAAAUAUAAAAUAAAGAAAAAGAUAAUAAUAGUAAAAGUAAAGUAAAAUGAUAGGAAUGAUAAAAAAAUAUAAAAUGAAUAAUAUUGAACUAAGAACAUAAGAAUCAAAAUAUAAAACGUUAGAAUAAAAAAAUGUAAUAAAUGAAUACAAAUAAAUUAAAAUUAAAAGAAAAAGAUUAAAAACUCAUUAAAACACUCCGUUAGUCCAGUUUUUUUGUCUUUGUCUUUUUUUGUCUUUGUCUGUAGUAAAGUAGUGCUGGAACAUCGUGUUUCUGUACUCUCUAUUGUAGCAUUUACACAACACACAGCAUAUUCACACUUUUAACAUAAUAGCCAGAAAAAGAAACACAGAAACACAAACUUGGCUGUGUGUGUGAGUGUAUGACAGAGAAUAGAGUGAGAGGGGCUUAGGGAGAGUUAGUUAUGAGAUUUAAUCCAUAUUUCAGCAGCGUAGAUAGAAAGUAAUCAAACUUCUGCUAAUAUGUCAUCGUCAUUAUUAUUUUUCUGUUUUUAAUCAUUGAAAUGAUACAUUUACUGUAGAGAAUUAAAAUCUUAUAACCCAUUCUUCAGCGAAGUGUGUGUUUGAGUCUGAUAAAUUUACUCACCACGUCUGUGCUGACUGAUAAAAUGUUUUUGCUGUGGAAAACGAAAAAUGGAUGGCCAAGAUACAGCUCUGGAAAAGAAUAAGAGAGCACUUCAGUUUCUGAAUCAGUUUCUCUAAUUUUGCUAUUUAUAGGUAUAAGUUUGAGUAAAAUGAACAUUGUUGUUUUAUUCUAUAAACUACGGCAAAAUUUCUCUCAUAUUCCGAGGAAAAAUAUUGUCAUUUAGAGCAUUUAUUUGCAGAAAAUGAGAAAUGGCUGCAGAGCUUUUAGACCUCAAAUAAUGCAAAAAAACAAGUUCAUAUUCAUAAAGUUUUAAGAGUUCAGAAAACAAUAUUUGGUGGAAUAACCGUGUUUUUUUUCUCCUCCACCAGUCUUACACACUGCUUUUGAAUAAAUAACAUUAUGCCACUUCUUGUGCAACAAUUCAAGCAGUUCAGUUUGGUGGUUUGAUGGUUUGUGAUCAUGCAUCUUCUUCUUGAUUAUAUUCCAGAGGUUUUUAAUUUGGUUAAAUCAAAGAAACUCAUAAAUUUUAAGUGAUCUCUUAUUUUUUCCAGACCUGUAUGUUAAUGAAGGAAAUAUAGAUAAUCAAUCUAGACUUUAUAAUAGACUUAUAAAUAGUGCAAUAUGUGCAUAGCUGUCGUUCAGUCUUUCAUUACCUUUUU